ACAGCUCUGUGCCACUGGCGGGGCUCAGGGCAGAGUGCUGGGCUCAGGUCUGCUCUGAGCAUCCCUGGGGGAAGCUGCAGCCCUGCCUGUGCUGCUCUGACACCCCUGGCUCUGUUCUUGGAGCACUCCCACACCGAGCAGUUCCAGGAGCUCUCCAGGAGAGAAGGAGUCAAAGGGACGGGGCUGAUGAACUGUGCUCAUUAACCUGAGUGAUGGGAGUGGUAUCGACGCCGGGGCUGUGCAGACUUCAAACACGCUCCUGCCGGCUGGGCUCGAAGCCCUGCUCGGGAAAAGGAGGAAUUCCUGCAGGCACUGCUGCAGGCCUGCAGCGGGAGGCUCCUCUGCAGCGGUACAAGGCUCGAAAAUUCUCUGGUGGCUGUUCCGCUGAAAUCGGGGAAGGUGUUUCGUGCGGAGAAGGUGUGCCAAGAGAGGGAGAGUUUGUGCUGCCCUUGCAGAAGCACCGCAGCGGGCUGCCAUCCUCCAGCACGGAAGGAAGUGUUUCCCUGCAGAAGCUCUUUCUGUGGUAAAAGGGCAUUCACUUGACAAGGUGCCGGGGUCGCUGCCAGCUGAGCCUGCUUCCUGCAGAGAGAAGGAGCCAGGAGCAGAGUGUGAGUUUGGGGUUGGUGUGGGUGGAGCAGCGUUGUCACAUUUGCAGCUCCCACCGCCCCUGGGCUGCACACGUGGUGCUCUCCUGGUUCCCAGGGCAGCUGCAGGAGCAGGUCUCCAUCAGCUGCUGCUGCAGGGGAGGGGUGUCCGGGCAGGCUGCUGGGUCAGAGCCGUGUUUGGAGACCUGCAGCCUGAGGUCAGAGCCCACUCCAAAUCUGUGGGGAUGAUCCCCAGAAAGCCUGGCCUGCCCUGGCUGCAGGACAGCUCCCGGCAGUCCCCAGGGUGGUGCAUCAGGCAGCUGGAGGGACGAUCUGUCUGACCUGCAGGAGUGGCAGAGUGCCUGCUCAAGGGGGGCUGGGGCAGCAGUGCUGGCACCAGCCCAUGCUGGGGGUGGUGGCCUGGCCACCCAGGCAGUGCUGGUGUCACCAGCAGUGCUCAGCCCCGGUCCUGGGCACCUGGCAGGAAGGGGCUGGUCCAGAGCCAGGCUGGAGGAAAGCCCGGGGGUGGCUGCAGGGGGAGCAGCUGCAGUGAUGUGUUUUCCCACCUCAGUGUAGUUUGUGGGUUGAUAAGGACUUUUAAAGGCCCUUCUUUUUCUGGAGAAGAGGCAAUGGGAAUGAAGGUGGGGAGCAGUGACGACAAAAGGUGGGUGGUGAGUGCUUCUCAUGGGUUUCCAACACAGCCAAUUUCUCCCAGCACCACCCUGCUCCGGGGUUCCAGUCCUGCAUGUACAGCUGAGGCUGCUGCUGGGGAGGAGGAGGGAUGGGCUUGGCAGUGCUGGUUUCACGGCUGGACUCCUCCGUCUUAAAGGUCUUUUCCAGCCUAAAAUGGUUCUGUGAUUCUCUGGCUGUCCCAUGCCCAGGGAGUGGUCUGGCAGCACUUUCCAAACCAGGAGCUUUCUCACACUGCGUGUGGGAGUUCAGCUCCCCCGAGGGCUGCUCGGGGUGGGUUUUGGGGCUGGCACCCUGUGAGAACAGGCUGCAUCACACUCACAGCUCAGAGCUGCCGUGGGGCCCAGCAGGGUGACAAAUGCUCUGCAAAACACAGAGAAGCAAAGACAGAAGAUGUAGAGGAAAAAAGAACAUUUACAUUUUUUACUUGGAGGAGUAAAAUAAACAUGGGAACGUUUCCCAGGAGAAGAGCUUGUUGUGGUGUCGAUGCAAAGCUGCAGUUGCUGCUGUGAGGUAUUUGCAGAAACAUGUCAGUCUCCUCUGCUGCAGAUUGCUGGGGCACCCCAGGCUCAGCUGUCCCAAACUGGCCAAGGGCUUAACCUUCUCCUAACAUCUUAACAAGAAAGAUCAAACAGGGACAGCCAGGUUUCAGGCCCUUGAUUUUUCUUUUGCUGAUAUCUCAGCCAAAAAUGUGACAUCCUUGAGUCUACUGAGAAAGCAAUAGAUGGUGUUUGCACUGCAGCAGCACAGCCAGCUCUGCUGUGCAGGACAGCUCCUUGUGGUGCCUGAGCUGCCAAGGCCACGUGGGCUGGGCACCGUGGGCUGGGCACCACGGGCACUGCUCCAUCCAUCCAUCCAUCCAUCCAUCCAUCCGUCCAUCCAUCCAUCCCUCCAUCCCUCCAUCCAUCCAUCCAUCCAUCCAUCCAUCCACCCAUCCAUCCAUCCAUCCAUCCACCCAUCCAUCCAUCCAUCCCAGGCUGGGCACCACGGGCACUGCUCCAUCCAUCCAUUCCAGGCUGGCACCACGGGCACUGCUCCAUCCAUCCAUCCAUCCAUCCAUCCAUCCAUCCAUCCAUCCAUCCAUCCAUCCAUCCAUCCCAGGCUGGGCACCACGGGCACUGCUCCAUCCAUCAUGGGCUGGGCACCACGGGCACUGCUCCAUCCAUCAUGGGCUGGGCACCACGGGCACUGCUCCAUCCAUCCCAGGCUGGGCACCACGGGCACUGCUCCAUCCAUCCCAGGCUGGCACCACGGGCACUGCUCCAUCCAUCCAUCACGGGCUGGGCACCAUGGGCACUGCUCCAUCCAUCCCAGGUAAGCUCCUGUGCUGAGGACUCAGCGCUCAGCCCAGCCUCGCUGUGUCCUACUUUCAGUUUGUUGUGGCUGUAGUGCUUCAGUGCAGUUAUUUAAUACAGGUAAUUAUGGGAAUAAUAACUUGGGAAAGGUUAAACUUGAUGAACUCAGGGAUGACUGUGUCUUUUGGCAUUGACCUGAGGAGCCUGGUGCAGAUACUUAUUGGUAGGAAACUUGCAGAUUCUGUACAUUUUAAUCCAAAGCACAUUUCUGUCUCUCACAGCAGCUCUUUGAUUAGUGGUGUUCACCUCGGGGUCAGAACGUGGAGAGAAAAUCAUCAGUCAAAGGCUGAGCUGGGGCAGCUGCUGGGGCUAGGUGUGAGCAGGCAGGGAGGGGAUGAGGGAGGUGGCGAUUCAAGGCCACUCAGGGCUGCCCUUGUGCCACCUCAUUUCCCAGGCAAUGAGGAAGAGCCCAUAAAGCACUGAGCUGCCACAGGCUGCUGAAGGUGCUGAUUUAUUUGCUCUGUUCUGUGAGGCACAAACAUGAAGGAGCUGUUGGGUUUGACAUCCUUUGGUGCCUACUGGGUGAUGGUUCAAAACUGCUGGA